GACGAACGCUGGCGGCGUGCCUAAUACAUGCAAGUCGAACGCAGGGGGGACGGGUGAGUAACACGUGGGUAACCGCCAAGCAGAGGGGAUAACACUUGGAAACAGGUGCUAAACCGAUACUGAUGGAUGGACCCGUGGUGCAUUAGCUAGUUGGUGAGGUAACGGCUCACCAAGGCGACGAUGCAUAGCCGGCCUGAGAGGAUGAUCAGCCACACUGGAACUGAGACACGGCCCAGACUCCUACGGGAGGCAGCAGUAGGGAAUCUUCGACAAUGGACGAAAGGCUGACCGAGCAAUGCCGCGUGUGUGAAGAAGGUUUUCGGAUCGUAAAACUCUGUUGUUAGAGAAGCGGUAUCUAACCAGAAAGCCACGGCUAACUACGUGCCAGCAGCCGCGGUAAUUC
rnacentral:rRNA from 1 species